rnacentral:rRNA from 1 species
AGUGAACGCUGGUGGUAGGCCUAACACAUGCAAGUCGAACGGCAGCACAGUAAGAGCUUGCUCUUACGGGUGGCGAGUGGCGGACGGGUGAGGAAUACAUCGGAAUCUACUUUUUCGUGGGGGAUAACGUAGGGAAACUUACGCUAAUACCGCAUACGACCUACGGGUGAAAGCAGGGGAUCUUCGGACCUUGCGCGAUUGAAUGAGCCGAUGUCGGAUUAGCUAGUUGGCGGGGUAAAGGCCCACCAAGGCGACGAUCCGUAGCUGGUCUGAGAGGAUGAUCAGCCACACUGGAACUGAGACACGGUCCAGACUCCUACGGGAGGCAGCAGUGGGGAAUAUUGGACAAUGGGCGCAAGCCUGAUCCAGCCAUACCGCGUGGGUGAAGAAGGCCUUCGGGUUGUAAAGCCCUUUUGUUGGGAAAGAAAAGCAGCAGGUUAAUACCCCGCUGUUCUGACGGUACCCAAAGAAUAAGCACCGGCUAACUUCGU